CCUACGGGGUGCAGCAGUGGGGAAUAUUGGACAAUGGGCGAAAGCCUGAUCCAGCCAUGCCGCGUGUGUGAAGAAGGCCUUCGGGUUGUAAAGCACUUUCAGUGGGGAAGAAAGCCUUGGGGCUAAUACCCUCGAGGAAGGACAUCACCCACAGAAGAAGCACCGGCUAACUCCGGGCCAGCAGCCGCGGUAAUACGGAGGGUGCGAGCGUUAAUCGGAAUUACUGGGCGUAAAGCGCGCGUAGGCGGUCUGAUAAGCCGGUUGUGAAAGCCCCGGGCUCAACCUGGGAACGGCAUCCGGAACUGUCAGGCUAGAGUGCAGGAGAGGAAGGUAGAAUUCCCGGUGUAGCGGUGAAAUGCGUAGAGAUCGGGAGGAAUACCAGUGGCGAAGGCGGCCUUCUGGACUGACACUGACGCUGAGGUGCGAAAGCGUGGGUAGCAAACAGGAUUAGAUACCCUGGUAGUC
rnacentral:rRNA from 1 species